rnacentral:rRNA from 1 species
UCCUACGGGGGGCAGCAGUGAGGAAUAUUGGUCAAUGGUCGGGAGACUGAACCAGCCAAGCCGCGUGAGGGAGGAAGGUACAGAGUAUCGUAAACCUCUUUUGUCAGGGAACAAAGGCGGGGACGUGUCCCCGGAUGAGUGUACCUGAAGAAAAAGCAUCGGCUAACUCCGUGCCAGCAGCCGCGGUAAUACGGAGGGUGCGAGCGUUAUCCGGAUUUAUUGGGUUUAAAGGGUGCGCAGGCGGUCUGUUAAAUCAGCGGUCAAAGCCCGGGGCUCAACCCCGGCCCGCCGUUGAAACUGGCAGU